GUCGUUGUAGUAUAGUGGUACGUAUACCCGCCUGUCACACGGAUGACUCGGGUUCGUUCUCUGACAACGGCG
rnacentral:tRNA from 1 species